UCUCGUCCUAAUAACUAACUGAAAUUUUAAUGUUUAUUGUUGGCUGUUCAAUUUAAUUAAGUUUCAAUUAACGUUUGCAAGUGAAGCCUAUAUCUGUUUGUUUUUGAUCUUUUUUUCCAGUUAUGAACACUUUGAAUUUAAAAAAAAAUUCCAAAGCAAAUAAACAUUACAUUCCAAACAUCAAUUUCAAUUUUGUCGCUUCCAUCCACGCUUUCUAAAACAAUAUAAAUAAAAUAAAGUGCAACUGAUUUUUUCCUGAAACGGGAUAUACUUUUUAUUAGUACAUACAUACGUAUUUCGCGCACAUGUCGUGUGCUCAGUACCUGAUCAGUAGUUGAUCGUAGCGUACAUGCUAAUAAAUAAUAUAUCCUGUUUCAGAAAAAAAUCAAUUGUAUUUUAUUUUAUUUAGAUUACAUUCUAAUAAGUAGAGAACAAUAUCGAGCACGUGAAAGGUAGAUCUAGCACUGGAGAAAUAUACGACAAAUAGCUCAACAACAAAAAUGUUUACACGUUUCUCCAGAGAAUACAAUUUAAAUUUUUUGCUUUUUUUUAAAUUUAUAUUGUUAUUGAAAAGUGUAGAAUUUUCCAAAAUAUGAAUAUUCGAAUCUUUUGGACAAUUUUGAAUAGAAUGUUUUAUAUUUGCACUUUAAAAUAUUCCUCACACCCAACGAAAUAUUUUGUUUAGAAAUUUUUACAAGCGCAUAUUUUUGCAACUGAAAUGGUCCGCCUCCAUUAAUCUAAUUGACUUUGCUUUUUAGACCCAUCAUAAGCGGUCAGUUUUUCAUCAGUUUACUAUAAGCUAACCCUUCCAAAAUUCACUAGUAAAUCAAAAGCAUGUUUCAACUUGCAACAGUCCGGCCAGACUAUUCAUUCGUCUGUCGUUCAUUGUUGUAAACAAUGAAUAUGCCAUAAUUUUGUCGUUCUGACUGACGCGAAACUGAUGAAAGACUGAUCGUGUGAAGUAGAUCUUACAAUGUGUUUUCUAAUCUAAUGUGUAUAUUUUCUAACCAAUUGUAUAUAGAUGGCUCAGUGGUUAGAACGACUUUCGUAGCGGUUGGAGGGGGGGAUUUUUGAAUGGAUGUCAGAUGUGUGAUAUCAGUCAACUCAGCUGUGUAUGAGUACCUGAGUAAAAAUCAAGAUUAUAAUACCAUUACGCACUUGAAUGAAGUGUUUUAAAAUGCUUUAAGGUCCUGGUCCAAUUGGAGUGUCACACCAACGAUUAUUAUUAUAAUCUAAUAAUAUAAUAUGAUUCAUCUAGAGUCAAAUUGAGGGUAUCGGCAUAUUCUUUCAGUAUUGACAGGCUCACGAAAUAAUAAAAUGAACGCUUUUCUCAAAUUAGAGUAAUAAAUUAAGAUAUUAUUGAAAAGUGAGAUGCUGCCUUCGAAGCGAAGGUAAGUUGCAUGGUCAACUUAAUAUAUUAAUUACCAAAUGUUAUUUUCAUUUUUUGUAUUCAGUAUAUCAAUCAUUGAUCCCUCUCAUCUCACCUGCUUCUUAGAAACCCAAAUCAUGUUUCUUUCACCAAUAGUGGGGAAACCAGCUUUUCCUAGUCAUUCGAAACUUUAAAUUCAAAAUAGUCAAAAAUACAAAUCCGCAAAUUUGUUUUUUCCUGUUGUUAGGAAACUUGCUUUUCCAAUUCGAAAUUUUGAAUUUAAAAUACUCUAAAAUAUAAGUACGCAAAUUCGUUUUUUUUUGUUAAACGCAUAAAAGCAAACAUAUAAUUAUUAAUCUACUGCCAACUGAUGUAUAAUUUUUAGGUAAAUAGUGGAAGAAAAACAAAUUGAACCUGAAUUGGUGGUUCAAUAGCAAUAAUUAGUAUUGCGACAUUGAGAAAUUUAUGUUGCUGCAAAUGAGGUGCCAAACAAACUAGACCAGAUAUUAAUACUAAUGCUAUAGUAUUGGAAGGUCCUCCACGCUUCACAUAAUUUAAAGUCUUAGGCUAUGGUUCCAGUUCAGAAUGUGUGCUAGUGCACGACGUGUAAGCGGGUAUAAGCAUGUGAAUUGAUUGCACCAAACGCAUUGGUGUGAUUUGAGUUGUGCAUUUUUGCCCGGUCGUAUAUCGAAAAAAUGUGUAUUUAGUGACCUAUAACUGCAGCCUUAGGAUGCUGAUUCCGGGUCGGUGUAUUACAACACUUUCCAACGAUUCGUAUAGCCUUUCUGAGUAGCUUUAAGGAAUUGUAGAUUUGGACAAUAACGGGAGGAUAGUAACGAACGACUAAGGUUUCUGUAAAGUAAUUAAAUUUCUUUUCUAUCUAUGCAAUCUCUGGGAAAGACCUCGGAUUCCCGUAAGAGUGAAAGUAGCAAAUCUACAAUAUCUGCAGGUGCAGCGAUAUAUACCUCUAUGGGAAGACUCUGCUUGCUGAAGCAGUCCAUGUCCGUAUGUUACGGCGGCUAGACAUUUCACCCAAAACAGGAGGAACUUCACCGGAUGUGAUACGGCUAAGAAACCAUGGUGAGAUGUUAUUUCCAUUCAGUUGCUCAUCAUCGUGGACGAAAAGUCGACCAGUGACGUCAUUCAAAAAACUAUUGGAAGAUUUGCGACCACAUAUGAGCGCAGAUUCUCAGAACUUCUCAAGAUUCCGUUCGGUAUCGGAGUUCGAGUGCGUUACGUCGCCAUCACUCGUAGCGGUCAGUAGAGCCUUCAACCCCUUCCGUUCAUCGAUCCGCUUCCACAGUCAGUGGGAUCUUAUGACGCCUCUCGGGAUGUAGCCGACCACCUGUGUAACACCUGAGAAAAGAGUUUUUUUGAUACAUCGAUAUUCUCAGGCUCAGGUUACUCAUUUGCAGAGGCAUAGAGACGCUAGCUCGAAAGUAAGGUGGAACCAAAUGAAUGCACUAAUCCAAAGAAUGGUUAUUAUCUUUAGGAAUAAAAGAUGGAAUUUAAUUCUGAGUGAAUUGAAGAUAGGAAGCGAACCCUUCUGGAACAUUGCCAACAUUUUAAAAAAACUAAACUAAAAAUGUUGUGUGUAUUGUGUUUAAAAGAUAGUAACAAAAUAGACUUUACCAUAAAGAAAAACGCGAGGCAUUUAGCAGAUAUUUUUACUAAAAACUUUUCAAUUUUCAUCGACAAUAUCGGUUACCCCUGCUAUGAUGAUAACGUGGCUCAAUAGAUGCAAAUAACAUUUGAAUUUGAUUGUUUAUAUUUAGAAAAUGAAACUAGACUUCUUUUUAAUAAAAAUAAUCAGCCAUUUAGUUUCCAUGUGGUCUCUGUUCUACAAAGUUCGCACUUAACAAUCUUCCCGAGUUUGCCUUUCUGACGAAUCAUGGGUAUAUGCCUCGACUGAACAAUCAAGUUUUGAGAGAAGAAGACCUGGUGAAAAAUUUAAAGAAGAUUGCAUUGUAAAACGAAUCAAGCAUUCAUUCAGUAUUAUAGCCUAGUCAAUGAUUGGCAACAAAAAUACAGGAUCCCUAUAAAUUGUCCAAAAGACGGGCAGGUCCAAUGUAUGGUCUAGAAGCCAGAAUGAUACUCAAAGUACACGAAUAUAGUUUAACGCGAUUUUUUCUCAAAUUUUGACAAACAGUAGUAGUCAUUUUGUUACGAAAAAUUAACCUUCCUUUCACCGUUAUAAGAUCUUGUUGACAUCCUAAGAUCCCAAUGUGAUAGGUAUAGUAGUUUGAAUAGAAUCUCACUCAUUAAAAAAAACCUGAAGUAGUCGUUCUUAGCUAUAGAGACAUAUCAAUGAUAUCAAUCAAUCAUAAAUAAGACAGUGCAAAUCUAGAAUAGUGCCCACAAGGCCAAGCAGUUUAGCGGACAACAUUCUUGCGGAUAUAUUACAAAUUAGAAGGAUCACUGCUUUUUCAUGUUUAGAUUGGCACUUAGAUCAAGCAUCUUUGUUGCUUUAUGUAAAUUUCACGGAGCUAAUUCUGUCGUUGAGAUCACAACUAGGUCUACUUGGAUUUCUUAAAGUCUUGUUGCAGAUUUUCAACAAAGUUCCGAUUCGAUAGUAUGGUUACAUUGAUUGUGAAGCACGCUCUUUUUUCCUGGGGAAGUAAAACUAAAUCGAGCCUAUUGUGACUAACAC